rnacentral:tRNA from 1 species
GGGCGUUUCUCCAGGUCCCGAGAACCCCUGUUUUACCUUCACACGGCAGAGGUCACUGGUUCAAUCCCAGUAGCGCCCA